UGAGACACUGCCCAGACUCCUACGGGAGGCUGCAGUCAAGAAUAUUCGACAAUGGGCGAAAGCCUGAUCGAGCGACGCCGCGUGCAGGAAGAAGCCCCUCGGGGUGUAAACUGCUUUUCUCAGGGAAGAAUUUGUGACGGUACCUGAGGAAUAAGAGGUUGCUAACUCUGUGCCAGCAGCAGCGGUAAUACAGAGACCUCAAGCGUUAUCCGGAUUCAUUGGGCGUAAAGCGUCCGCAGGUGGUUUGAAAAGUUAAUAGUCAAAUCUUGAGGCUUAACUUCGAGGCUGCUAUUAAUACUAUCAAACUAGAGACUGGGAGAGGCAAGCGGAACUAUCGGUGUAGUCGUAAUAAGCGCUGAUAUCGAUAGGAACACCAAAGGCGAAGGCAGCUUGCUAGAACAGUUCUGACACUCAUGGACCAAAGCGUGGGUAGCGAAAGGGAUUAGAUACCCCUGUAGUCCACGCCCUAAACGAUGCGCACUAGGUAUCGGGAGUAUCGACCCUCUCGGUGCCGUUGAAAAAAGCUAACGCGUUAAGUGCGCCGCCUGGGGAGUACGGCCGCAAGGUUAAAACUCAAAGGAAUAGACGGGGACCCGCACAAGCGGAGGAUCAUGUGGUUUAAUUCGAUGGUACGCGGCGAACCUUACCUAGGUUUGACAUGUAGCUGCAAGCUUGCUGAAAGGCGAGCCGCCUUUGAGGGUGCUACACAGGUGCUGCAUGGUUGCCGUCAGCUCGUGCCGUGAGGUGUACCGUUAAGUCGGGUAACGAGCGUAACCCUUGUUCUGUGUUAAAUGCACACAGAAGACUGCCUACGCAAGUAGGAGGAAGGUGGGGACGACGUCAAAUCAGCAUGGCUCUUACAUCUAGGGCUACACACAUGAUACAAUGGCUGGUACAAAGGGUAGCGAAAUCGCGAGAUGGAGCUAAUCUCAAAAAACCAGUCUCAGUUCGGAUUGCAGGCUGAAAUUCGUCUGCAUGAAGUUGGAUUCGCUAGUAAACGCGCAUCAGCCACGGCGCGUUGAAUACGUUCUCGGGUCUUGUACUCACCGCCCGUCACACCACGAAAGUUGACAAUGCCCAAAGGCUCCUUCGGGGGACUAAGGCAGGGUCAGCGAUCAGGGUGAAGUCGUAACAAGGCAUCUGUAGCGGAAGCUGCGGAUG
rnacentral:rRNA from 1 species